rnacentral:rRNA from 1 species
AUGCGUUUAUUUGCCUCAAACUUUAAAGAGGCUCAUUUAAGACUUAAUCAAAUGAUUACCUAACAGGUAAAAAAAUCUUUUGUUUCCUCUCAUCGAGAUAAAGGUAGGCAAAAGAAGGAUUUUUGUCGUUUGUGGAUCACUCGGAUAAACGCAGCAACGCGAAAGGUGGCGGCACAAUACCUUCAAAAAGACAUACUAAUUCAGAAAGAAAUAAAGAUCUGUGUUGCCUCUUAUGCCGUUUGGCACGUUAGGAAAGAGCAUAGUAGGAGGGUUUUUACGGCAACCCAAUGA